rnacentral:rRNA from 1 species
CCUACGGGACGCAGCAGUGAGGAAUAUUGGUCAAUGGCCGGAAGGCUGAACCAGCCAUGCCGCGUGAAGGUCAGUGCCCUAUGGGCGUUAAACUUCUUUUGUGCGGGAGCAAUAAUGGUCACGUGUGGCCAGACGAGAGUACCGUACGAAUAAGCAUCGGCUAACUCCGUGCCAGCAGCCGCGGUAAUACGGGGGAUGCAAGCGUUAUCCGGAUUUAUUGGGUUUAAAGGGUGCGUAGACGGGAAAUUAAGUUAGUUGUGAAAUCCCUCGGCUUAACUGAGGAACUGCAACUAAAACUGGUUUUU